rnacentral:rRNA from 1 species
UACGUAGGGUGCAAGCGUUAAUCGGAAUUACUGGGCGUAAAGCGCACGUAGGCGGCUUUGUAAGUUAGAGGUGAAAGCCUGGAGCUCAACUCCAGAAUUGCCUUUAAGACUGCAUCGCUUGAAUCCGGGAGAGGUGAGUGGAAUUCCGAGUGUAGAGGUGAAAUUCGUAGAUAUUCGGAAGAACACCAGUGGCGAAGGCGGCUCACUGGACCGGUAUUGACGCUGAGGUGCGAAAGCGUGGGGAGCAAACAGG